ensembl:lncRNA
CAUUUAAAAUAAUGAUUUAUUUGCAAAAGAAACUCUUUUCCAGACCAAAACCCAAAUAAAACCUUGUAACUUCAGUAUCUAUAUACUCUAGGAGAAGACAGCAGCAAUAUGACAGAAGGCAUAACUUGAACCACUUGUAACUGCACAGAUAAAGCUAGGAAACAUUUAGAAAAACAUUGUGCUGGAAAAAAUAUCUAAAUGUUUAAAGAAGUUGGUGACCACAAUGAUGGGUGCAGUUUAAAAACCAGAAUGGAAUACAAUAGAGUGCAUUUGGCUCUGUAACAAACAGCAUGUUUCUAAUCACCAGCAUCUGAGUCAAACUAAAUAUUUCAAACCUCACCACCAAAGACAAUAAAAUUGUAAAUGCUAAUGUGUCCUGCCCAGCAGACUGUAUUAUUGCUUUAUGCUCAGCUUGUCAGUUGCCAUGCCAAUCUUCUUACUCGUUACCAGCAUCUUCUACUUGUUUUAAACUUUUGUUUUAAACAUUAUUUUUAAAAUCACUCAGCAACUCACAUUUAGAUAACUGCUCAGAUUUCCUAACGGAUUUUGUUCCUGUUAGAGUACUCAGUGAAACAGCCAGUUCUUCUGAAGUGCUUAACAUCAAAUAACUCCCUCUGAAAUAUCAUUUGGGGAAAUUAAAUCUGAAAACUCCGUGUCUAAUCAGCUUUGUUAAAGAAGAGGCAGUUUAGCUAUUUCAUGGUAUUCCCACCUUUCUUCUCUUUUCUUCAACAUAUAGCUGGAGAGGAGCAUGAUGAAUACCAAUGCGUGGCUCAACCAGCCUGUCUGGUUUUCUCAUUAAGAAAAAUAGAGUGGAACAGCUCUUAUUCUCAGGAGAAGAUGAAAUACAAAGUUGCUGCUGUCCAAUAGGCUGGCAGUCUGUCUGCCUGCAAAAGCUACUAAUUCAUGGAUCAUUUACGUGUUGCAACAUUAACGAUUUUUGCUUUUAGCAUGCAGUUAUAAAUAAUGCCAUGCGUAGAGUGAACGUACAGGAAAUUCUCAUAGACAGCUGGCAAAGAUUCAUCUUGUUGGGUCUCAUUAGUGAGGGCCAUAAAAACAGAGAGUGAAAAUGAGUCAGACUGAAAAUAUAUUAGAGCCUGCCAUAUUUUCAGUGUUCAAUUCAAUGAUUUUCCACUAAAGCCAGUGAGGAGACAUGGCAGAUGAGGCCUCCAGAGGUCAGUCAGAAAUGAUUCCUGGCUCUUCCCCAAACUCCCUGUGUGAUCUUGUCUAAGUGAUUUCAUUCUUCCCUACCUCAACCCUUUGUCUAGCUGGAAAAUGCACCCAAAGUCUCUCUUGGCAGAACAAAAGUACUGCACUUAGGUAGAACUAACCAGCUACACAAAUUCAAAACAGGGAGUGAUUAGCCAUGGUUAGAUCUAUUAUUUUUCAUAACAGGUCUUGGAGGUUGUAGCAGAUCACCAGCUGAGCACGAAUCAACCAUGUAAUCUGUUAUAAAUAUAAACCAUCUACCUAUUCUGCUUCUUAAGAACUGAAAAAAAAAGGAAGACCCAAAACUUCAUCUCUAAAUAUCUUUUUGCCUUGACUUCAGUUAAUUUGAAAAUGGUGGAAAUAACUCUGAAUUAAUUUGACUAUUGUCUCAGAUGAGAUUUAUCAUAAAAAAAAAAAA